CCAAAUGACUGGCAGAAUCCUAUGCCACAAAAGCAUACACCCAGGGCGAGGCUCAGCCAUUGCACAUGGGUUGAGCUGACCCCUGCGAAUUCCCCAAAUGCGGGAAUCUCGACUGCAUAAUUUGUGAUAGUGGGGGACUGCGUUCGCGCUCUCCCCUA